GAGGAAUUUUCGUCAAUGGGCGCAAGCCUGAACGAGCAACGCCGCGUGGAGGAUGACGGCCUUCGGGUUGUAAACUCCUUUUUCGGGGGACGAUAAUGACGGUACCCCGGGAAUAAGGCUCGGCUGACUCUGUGCCAGCAGCCGCGGUAAUACAGAGGAGCCAAGCGUUGUCCGGAUUGACUGGGCGUAAAGCGCACGCAGGCGGCACCGCGCGUGGGGUGUGAAAUCUGGCCGCUUAACGGCCAGGCGCCAUCCCAUACGGCGGAGCUGGAGUGAUGCAGAGGUCGAUGGAAUUGCCGGUGUAGUGGUGAAAUGCGUAGAGAUCGGCAGGAACACCCAGGGGGAAACCAGUCGACUGGGCAUCAACUGACGCUGAGGUGCGAGAGCGUGGGGAGCGAAC
rnacentral:rRNA from 1 species